rnacentral:rRNA from 1 species
AUUGAACGCUGGCGGCAUGCUUUACACAUGCAAGUCGAACGGCAGCGCGGGCUUCGGCCUGGCGGCGAGUGGCGAACGGGUGAGUAAUGCAUCGGAACGUGCCCAGUAGUUGGGGAUAGCCCGGCUACAGCCGGAUUAAUACCGCAUACGACCUGAGGGUGAAAGCGGUGGACCGAAAGGCCUCGCGCUAUUGGAGCGGCCGAUGUCGGAUUAGCUAGUUGGUGGGGUAAAGGCUUACCAAGGCGACGAUCCGUAGCUGGUCUGAGAGGACGACCAGCCACACUGGGACUGAGACACGGCCCAGACUCCUACGGGAGGCAGCAGUGGGGAAUUUUGGACAAUGGGGGCAAGCCUGAUCCAGCCAUGCCGCGUGAGGGAAGAAGGCCUUCGGGUUGUAAACCGCUUUUGUUCGGGAAGAAAUACUCUGGGCUAAUACCCCGGGGGGAUGACGGUACCGGAAGAAUAAGCACCGGCUAACUACGUG